UUAUGUGAUCGUCUCUCGCAUAUCAAUAAGCGGAGGAAAAGAAACUAACAAGGAUUCCCCUAGUAACGGCGAGUGAAGCGGGAAGAGCUCAAAUUUGAAAUCUUAAAGGGUUUCCCUUUACGAAUUGUAGUUUAAAGAAGUGUUUUCUGUUGAGGUUUUGGUAAAAGUUCUUUGGAAUAGGACAUCAUAGAGGGUGAGAAUCCCGUAUUUGACCUUUACUUUCAACUUUGUGAUACACUUUCAAAGAGUCGGAUUGUUUGGGAAUGCAGUCCAAAAUGGGUGGUAAAUUUCAUCUAAAGCUAAAUAUUGUCGAGAGACCGAUAGCGAACAAGUACCGUGAGGGAAAGAUGAAAAGAACUUUGAAAAGAGAGUUAAACAGUACGUGAAGUUGUCAAAAGGGAAGCGUUUGACACCAGUGUUGUUUUUCUGAAAAUCAAUUAAAGAACUGUUUAUGCUAAGCUGUUUAGACUUUAUCAGCUAAUCUGUUUAGUUUUGAGCUUUUCUUUAAUGCACUUUUCAGUUAACAAGUCAACAUCAAUUUCUUUUGCUGUAAAAAAGCUUGAGGAAGGUGGCUUGAGAUUCGUCUUAAGUGUUUAUAGCCUCUUGCCUAUGCAGUCGGAGAGAUUGAGGUCUGCAGCGUAGAUCCUUCGGGGCUAAAUGCAUUUGUGCUAAGUUAUAGCAUUUUAUAGACAACUUGUUGACUAUGAUUUGUCUUGUAGCUUACUCGCUUAUGUUAUUUUACCUACGCUUAGGAUGUUGAACGCGCACAGAGUCUC
rnacentral:rRNA from 1 species